rnacentral:rRNA from 4 species
GGUUAAGCGACUAAGCGUACACGGUGGAUGCCCUGGCAGUCAGAGGCGAUGAAGGACGUGCUAAUCUGCGAAAAGCGUCGGUAAGGUGAUAUGAACCGUUAUAACCGGCGAUGUCCGAAUGGGGAAACCCAGUGUGAUUCGUCACACUAUCGUUAACUGAAUACAUAGGUUAACGAGGCGAACCGGGGGAACUGAAACAUCUAAGUACCCCGAGGAAAAGAAAUCAACCGA